CAGUAGCCACGGUAAUACGGAGGGUGCAAGCGUUAUCCGGAUUUAUUGGGUUUAAAGGGUCCGUAGGCGGAUCUGUAAGUCAGUGGUGAAAUCUCACAGCUUAACUGUGAAACUGCCAUUGAUACUGCAGGUCUUGAGUAAAUUUGAAGUGGCUGGAAUAAGUAGUGUAGCGGUGAAAUGCAUAGAUAUUACUUAGAACACCAAUUGCGAAGGCAGGUCACUAAGAUUUAACUGACGCUGAUGGACGAAAGCGUGGGGAGCGAACAGGAUUAGAUACCCCGGUAGUCCCUGUCUCUUAUAC
rnacentral:rRNA from 1 species